rfam:Salmo salar isolate Sally breed double haploid chromosome ssa06, whole genome shotgun sequence.
UCCAUUCACUACUGUAAGUCGCUCUGGAUAAGAGCGUCUGCUAAAUGACGUAAA